rnacentral:rRNA from 1 species
CGCGGCCUAUCAGCUUGUUGGUGAGGUAACGGCUCACCAAGGCUUCGACGGGUAGCUGGUCUGAGAGGACGAUCAGCCACACUGGAACUGAGACACGGUCCAGACUCCUACGGGAGGCAGCAGUGGGGAAUCUUGCACAAUGGGCGAAAGCCUGAUGCAGCGACGCCGCGUGGGGGAUGACGGCCCUAGGGUUGUAAACCCCUUUCAGGAGGGACGAAACUGACGGUACCUCCAGAAGAAGCCCCGGCCAACUACGUGCCAGCAGCCGCGGUAAGACGUAGGGGGCGAGCGUUGUCCGGAUUUAUUGGGCGUAAAGGGCUCGUAGGUGGUUGCGUAAGUCGGAUGUGAAAACUCAGGGCUCAACCCUGAGACGCCAUCCGGUACUGCGCUGACUUGAGUCCGGUAGAGGGGUGUGGAAUUCCUGGUGUAGCGGUGAAAUGCGCAGAUAUCAGGAGGAACACCUAUAGCGAAGGCAGCACUCUGGGCCGGUACUGACACUGAGGAGCGAAAGCGUGGGUAGCAAACAGGAUUAGAUACCCUGGUAGUCCACGCUGUAAACGGUGGGCACUAGGUGUGGGGACUUUCAACGGUCUCUGCGCCGAAGCUAACGCAUUAAGUGCCCCGCCUGGGGGAGUACGG